UUCGCAAUGCCCGAAAGGGUGACGAAGCGACGCCGCGUGCGGGAAGAAGGCCUUCGGGUUGUAAACCGCUGUCGGGAGUUAAGAAAUGUAAGGAUGUUAAUAGCAUCUUUGCUUGACUAAGGCUCCGGAGGAAGCCACGGCUAACUCUGUGCCAGCAGCCGCGGUAAUACAGAGGCGGCAAGCGUUGUUCGGAAUUAUUGGGCGUAAAGAGCACGUAGGCGGCUAUGUAAGUCGGUUGUGAAAGCCUUCCGCUCAACGGGAGAACAGCAUCCGAUACUGCAUGGCUUGAGUGCGGGAGGGGAGAGUGGAACUUCUGGUGGGGCGGUGAAAUGCGUAGAUAUCAGAAGGAACGCCGGCGGCGAAAGCGGCUCUCUGGCCCAUAACUGACGCUGAGUGUGCGAAAGCUAGGGGAGCAAACGGGAUUAGAUACCCCGGUAGUCCUAGCCGUAAACGAUGGGCACUAAGUAGAGGGGUUUU
rnacentral:rRNA from 1 species